rnacentral:rRNA from 1 species
CGCUCAGAUUGAACGCUGGCGGCAGGCCUAACACAUGCAAGUCGAACGGUAACAGGAAGCAGCUUGCUGCUUCGCUGACGAGUGGCGGACGGGUGAGUAAUGUCUGGGAAACUGCCUGAUGGAGGGGGAUAACUACUGGAAACGGUAGCUAAUACCGCAUAACGUCGCAAGACCAAAGAGGGGGACCUUCGGGCCUCUUGCCAUCGGAUGUGCCCAGAUGGGAUUAGCUAGUAGGUGGGGUAACGGCUCACCUAGGCGACGAUCCCUAGCUGGUCUGAGAGGAUGACCAGCCACACUGGAACUGAGACACGGUCCAGACUCCUACGGGAGGCAGCAGUGGGGAAUAUUGCACAAUGGGCGCAAGCCUGAUGCAGCCAUGCCGCGUGUAUGAAGAAGGCCUUCGGGUUGUAAAGUACUUUCAGCGGGGAGGAAGGGAGUAAAGUUAAUACCUUUGCUCAUUGACGUUACCCGCAGAAGAAGCACCGGCUAACUCCGUGCCAGCAGCCGCGGUAAUACGGAGGGUGCAAGCGUUAAUCGGAAUUACUGGGCGUAAAGCGCACGCAGGCGGUUUGUUAAGUCAGAUGUGAAAUCCCCGGGCUCAACCUGGGAACUGCAUCUGAUACUGGCAAGCUUGAGUCUCGUAGAGGGGGGUAGAAUUCCAGGUGUAGCGGUGAAAUGCGUAGAGAUCUGGAGGAAUACCGGUGGCGAAGGCGGCCCCCUGGACGAAGACUGACGCUCAGGUGCGA